AUCUUCUCGAUCUUUUUGGUCUCUGAGAAAGUCGACUGCUCCUGUCUGCUGCGAACUUGGGAGGAGAUUGGCAUUUCAAUCCAACCUGCACGAUUUUAGGUAAGACCCCUCAUUUGCAAUAAACCUGUGUCAUUUUUGCUGUUGGUAUCGGUUCAAUAUCAAGUAUCAUAAUCAUCAGUUUCAUGUAGUCGUUCAUCUAGUUACCUGGAUAAUUUGAGAGAUCUCCUUUUGGGGAUGGAUGAAUAUCCUCUGUUUGAGAAUGAUCAUAAUCAUCAGUUUCAUGCAGUCGUUCAUCUAGUUAGCCUCUAUUUUUUCCGUGAGAGUUGAACUUUAAAACUUCUACCUACCUUUCUAUGGGAAUGUCAUCAUUCUCUUUAGUAAAGCCUUCAGUUUUGAGGAACGUUACUGAGUCUUGGGAGUGCCCUAAAUUGUAAGGGGUGAUCCACGAGGAAAUUUCCUUACUAUGUCCUUGCCCAUAUAGGUUUAUGGUUUCCAAAAAGCUUUCAUCCAAAUCUUUUGAAACUUUGAGAGUUUUAUUGCAUAUUGUUCGAAAUAAGAUUGGGUUGUAUAUGUCACGAGCGUCAGAGUUUCUCAGAUUUAUUUUGUGACAAGCAGCUCACGCCAUCCAUGUAUGUUAUAGCUGUUGUUGUUUUUCUACUUGAUCAUAAAUGAAUGACCUCAUUUCGUUUUUGUUUCUUAAAUCAUCCCCAUUUUACUCCAAGCUGUGACCAUGGAUAUUGUCGGGGCUACUGUUGGGGUGCUAAAUUUAUCGUGGGGGUCCCUUGGCAGACAGGUCUCUUAUCUGCAAAAUGUUGAGAAACUUCUGAAGGCACUUCAUGUCAGUAUAGAAGACCUAAAUGGUCGAGCAAAUGACAUCAAAAUGGAGAUGAAUACGGGUAUAGCAUACUUGAAUAAGAAACCAAGAAGUGAGGUACAGUCGUGGCUCAAACAUGUGGAAAAGUUAAAUGAUGAAGUGAGUAUCUUAGAAAAUGAAAUCGGCAUUAGGGGAAAAUGGUUGAAAGGGUGUUUUCCUAAUUGCUGUUCACGUCAUAAGUUCGGAAAACAACUUGUGCAAAAGAUCAAAGACUUGACUGAGCUUCAAGGAAUGGGAACAUUUCCGAAUGGCUUAUUCAUUAAUUUAUUGCCUGAUGCAGGAAGACUUAUGCCAACAACAGGGAUUAUAGGCGAAACAAUCCCAAGGAAGGUUCUGCAUGAGAUUUGGGAAUGUCUGAUGGAUGUCAAUAUCAAUAAGAUAGGUGUCUAUGGUAUGGGUGGUGUUGGAAAGACAACUAUCAUGAUGCACAUUAAUAAUCUACUCCAUGAAGCUCAGAUGUUUGAUAAUGUUAUUUGGGUGACUGCAUCAAAAACCUUUGACUUGACGAAAUUACAGAUUGACAUAGCAAAAGCAGUAAACUUGGAGCUGGCAUUUGGAUUUGAAGACAAUAUGAUUAGAAGAUCAACUGUAUUAUUUGAGCAUCUGCAGAGAAUGAAAAAAUUUACACUAAUCAUAGACGAGUUAUGGAGUAAGUUCACCUUGGAAGAGGUGGGAAUCCCGCAACCAAAUAAAGAGAAUGGUUGUAAAUUGGUAUUCAUUACUCGACUAAUGGGAGUAUGUCGGGGCAUGGAGACACACAAGGAAAUCAAAGUGGAUGUCCUCUCUGAGGCGGAAGCACGGAAUUUGUUUGCUAAUAAAGCAGGAAUGGAUGAGUUUAAUUCAGAUGAAAUAGUUUCCACUGCAAAGCUAAUUGUUGAAGAAUGUGGCGGUUUGCCACUUGCAGUUGUCACUGUGGGACGAGCCAUGAGGAAAACCAAUGAUGUAAGAGUUUGGAAGAAUGCACUGGAAGAGCUGAAAAGCUCGAGGGCAGAAAUUGAAGGCAUGGAAGGCGAUGUUUUUGCACGCCUGAAAUUUAGCUAUAACCACUUGAAAAGUGACAGAGUCCGGGCUUGCUUUUUGUACUGUGCAUUGUAUCCUGAGAAUUACGAAAUUGAUGUUGAGGAGCUGGUCGAGUACUGGAUGGCAGAAGGUUUAAUAGAUGAAGUCUGGGAUAGGGAGCAUGAGAUCAACAAAGGCCAUGCAUUGCUUAAGGAACUCAAAGAUGCUUGCCUGCUGGAGGAUAUUCGAACAGGGUAUGUGAGAAUGCACAAUUUGGUGAGGGAUUUAGCAAUUAGAAUGGCGAGGGAGAAUCCUCGGUUCCUGAUCAAAGCUGGUGUUGGUUUGAAAACAUUGCCAAGAACAUGGGUGGAAGAUGCAGAGAGGGUCUCCCUAAUGGCUAACAACAUUGAAGUUCUUCCAGAUCAUCCCGCUAGCAUGAAUUUAACAACUUUGCUCCUGCAACAGAACCCCCGCUUGAAGAGUAUCCCAGAUUUAUUCUUUCGGAGCAUGCAUAACCUUAGAGUACUUGACCUGUCCGGUUCUUCAAUUAAGUCACUCCCAGAUACUCUUUCCUGUUUACAGAAUCUCCGUGCACUCCUGUUACGUCUUUGUGAGCUUGAAGAGUUACCAUCACUAGCAACACUGAAAGAGCUAAGGGUGUUGGACCUUUCAUAUACAUUAAUCCAAGGGUUACCACAUGGAAUUGAAGGCUUGGUAAAUCUCAGGCGACUUGAUCUUUCUUAUACUGAACAAUUAAGCAUGUUUCCUGCUAGGGCCAUCCCAAACCUGUCGCGCCUAGAAAAUCUAUCAAUGUUUCACAGCAAAUGGAGAUGGUCAGUGACUCCGCACGGAAAAGAGAGAGGAACAGAUUUUGCAGAAAUCACCAACUCCUCACACCUAACUAAUCUUGGUCUUUCCUUCGAGAAUGCAUACAGUUUCAACCACUAUGUGAGAUCUGGACACUGGAGGGUUCUGAAAGGCUACCACAUUGGUAUAGGACUUUUGUCAAGCCUUUUACCUAUUUCUGAAGGAACUUGUAGUGUAGAAGUUCAAGGCUGUAACCUCAUUACCAAUGGGAGUUUAAUCAAGCUCCCAGACAGCACUCAGGAGUUGGCAUUACAGGGCUGUCACGACAUUGAUAUUCUAUCCAAACUGACUAGCAUAUCAAACUUGAAAAAUCUGAAAGACUGUUACGUCUCCAGUUGUAACAGGUUAGAGUUCUUAAUAGUGGAAGAUAAAGACUAUUUUCCAAACCUGGAGAAAUUGACCCUCCGCAAGCUGCUUAACUUAAAGGCAAUUUGUAAUGGAACUGGGGCAGAUAGUGUAUUUUCAAAGCUAAAAGCCGUGCAUAUCCACAACUGUAACAAACUUAGAUACAUAUUUACAUUUGGGUUGUUACGGUGCCUCCAAAAUCUUGAAGAGCUUGAGGUGUGGAAUUGUCAUUCAGUCGAGGACAUAAUUGAAGUGGAGGAAACUAUUGGAGUAAAUGGUAACACAUUUCCUUCAAUAACAAUUCCAAGGCUACGUGUGCUGUACUUAUCCUAUUUACCUGAAUUGAAAUCCAUCUCUAAAGGGGUAUUAAUUUGCAAUUCAUUGGAUUCUAUUGAUUUAUGGGGCUGUGAGAAGCUAAGGAAACUGCCUUUCUCAAUGGACAAGUUGCCUUUCUCCCUCAAGCACCUCAAGGGAAACAGAAAGUGGUGGGAAAAGUUCUACUGGGAUGAGCCUGGUUGUAAGAGUCUUUUACAACCCUUCUUUGAGGGAGAAAAAUGAAAAGAAAAGCAUUAAAUAUGGACCAUGUAGCUGGUGCAGGGCAAGUCCUAUUGAUUGGUGAUUAAAAUUUCAUCUGACAUUGAACUGCCUCUUGAUAAGGAUUCAUCAGCAAGAUAUUCAACAUGUUCAACUUCAAGUUCAGGGAAUCGAGAAAACACUAGUUUUUCAUCUGGAAUUUUUGUACCGAUUCACAAGCCAUCACAUCUUUGGGAUUUUGGUGUAUUUUAAACUUUGCAAAAAGUUUCAUUAAACAUUGAAUUGAGGUUGAUUCAUGGAGAAAUUGCAGCAUUGUGAAUCUCUCAAAAUGCUGGAGUUCAGACUUCCAGAUAUUGGCUUGUUGCUUCACAAAGAGGAGACCUCACAGUAAUCUUGUUAGAUCACUCUCAUCGUGACCUUUUUAUCAAAAGCAAGAAGGGCAGCAGUGUACGAUUUUUACUACCGAGUCAGGGCUUGAGUGGUCAGUAGGCAAACAAUCUCGUGCUGAUUGUUGGGUUACAGGGAUGGUAUGGAGGGUUAUGGAACCACACUGGUGUCUGUUCAAAGGUGAACAUGUGAUGCUUUACCUCGUUUGUGGAAUCAAGAUUCCUUCUCUUAUUCGGAUGUUUGAGCAGAGUUACUUGGGCUUCAUUUUGUUUUGAGUCCUUUGAUAAUAUAGUUUCGCUAUGUUUUAAUU